GACUGUACAAAGGUAGCAUAAUCAUUUGUCUUUUAAUUGAAGGCUGGAAUGAAUGGUUGGAUGAAAAAUAUACUUUCUUAUUUUUAUAUAUAAAAUUUGAUUUUUUAGUCAAAAAGCUAAAAUUUUUUUAUAGGACGAGAAGACCCUAUAGAAUUUUAUUUUUUAUAUUUAUAAACAUUUAAGUUUUUUAUAUGAUUAUAUAUUUUAAAUAAUUAUGUUGGGGUGACAAAAAAAAUACUAUAACUUUUUUUUAAUUUUUUCAUUUAUAAAUGUUUUUUUGAUCCUAUAUUAUGGAUUAGAAGAUUAAAUUACCUUAGGGAUAACAGCGUUAUUUUUUUGGAGAGUACUUAUCGAUAAAAAAGUUUGCGACCUCGAUGUUGGAUUAAAAUAGGUACCAGGGGCAGAAUAUUGGUAACCAAGUCUGUUCGACUUUUAAUUUUUUACA
rnacentral:rRNA from 1 species